AGUGUUGCUAAUAAUCUCUAUUCUCAGAUGCAAAACAUCAGAUCUACACAGGAAGAAAUGAUCAGCUAGAGAAAAAGAAACUACGGUUACAUGAUUACUUCUGCAGCAGCAGGAAAGGAAGGAUAGAAUAUGAGCUAUGUGUCAGUCACCAUGGUUUGCUGUACAGAAUAUUAGAUUAAAUUGCAAUGAAGGCAAUCCGUCAUGACAGUAUGAAUGUCUGCAAAGACUUGAAACAGAAAUAGAGAAAGACAGAGUAAUGAGAAGCCAAUGGGGCAGCUCGGCAUUCCAGC